GUGCUGGCUUUGGACGAGGAGAUGAGAGAUGGUGGAUCGGUAAUGGAGAAGAGGAAAAGGAGCGAGGGUUUUCUAGAAUCGAGAAGAGGGAGAGGGGGUGGUUUUCCAAUGGGGAAGUGGGAGAGGAACGUGCAGCGAUGGUUUAGGAUUGGACGAGAUGACGGUGCUUUAUGAUUGGACGAUGAAACCGGCUUUGACCGUCAACGCGCUUUGAGUUUUUGUUCUUCUGUUUGAUAACUAAUAACUACAACCGUGGUAGUGGACUACAUGUUGUACGUGAAAGCAUUCUAUGGAUAUUAUUUUUCUGAAUACAAAAAGAGAUAAGGCACUGAAAAAUAAAUAAAAAAGGAAAAAUAGUAUAAACCUGGCACACUUCCUUUGUUUCACACCUAGUACCCAUGAAAUUUUUGAAACUUGGGAUACAGUAAAUGAUUCAAA
rnacentral:lncRNA from 1 species